GCCCCGCCGUAAACUUAGAUAUUCCAGUACAAUAAAUAUCCGCCAGGGGACUACGAGCGCCAGCUUAAAACCCAAAGGACUUGGCGGUGCUUCAGACCCCCCUAGAGGAGCCUGUUCUAGAACCGAUAACCCCCGUUCAACCUCACUACUCCUUGCUUUUCCCGCCUAUAUACCACCGUCGCCAGCUUACCCUGUGAAGGUACUACAGUAAGCAGAAUGAGUAAUACUCAAAACGUCAGGUCGAGGUGUAGCGUACGAAGUAGGAAGAAAUGGGCUACAUUAUCUGAUCCAGAUUAUUCACGGAAGGUUGCCUGAAAGGACAACCCGAAGGUGGAUUUAGCAGUAAAGGGGGAAUAGAGUGCCCCCUUGAAGCCGGCUCUGAAGCGCGCACACACCGCCCGUCACUCUCCCCAACAACGCCUACACCAAAGUAAGUUAACACAAUAUCAGUCACAAGGGGAGGCAAGUCGUAACAUGGUAAGUGUACCGGAAGGUGCACUUGGAAUAAU
rnacentral:rRNA from 1 species